AGUGAACGCUGGCGGCGUGCCUAAUACAUGCAAGUCGAACGGAGUGGCGCACGGGUGAGUAAUAUAUAGCUAAUCUGCCCCUUGCUGGAGGACAACAGUUAGAAAUGACUGCUAAUACUCCAUAGCAAGGGAUGAGACUAUAUCGUAUCAGCUAGUCGGUGGGGUAACGGCCGACCGAGGCUAUGACGCGUAACUGGUCUGAGAGGAUGAUCAGUCACAUUUGAACUGAGACACGGUCCAAACUCCUACGGGAGGAAGCAGUAGGUGAUAAUGCGCAAUGGGGGAAACCCAGACGCAGCAUCGCCGAGUGGAGGAUGACACUUUGCGGAGCGUAAACUGCUUUUGUUAGGGAAGCGGUACCUAACGAAUAAGCACCGGCUAACUCCGUGCCAGCAGCCGCGGUAAUAC
rnacentral:rRNA from 1 species